GGCGCCCUCAGCCUCACCUCCUAAAUCUCCUUUUAAAUUUUUAUUUUCUCCGUGUGUGUGUGUGUGUGUGUGUGUGUGUGUGUGUGUACGCGUGCAUGCACAUGUGUGUUUGUUCUGGGAAUCGAACUCUUGAGCUCACACUUGCCAAGCAGGCGUUGUGCCUCUGAGCUGUAUGACUAGUCCUUAAAUCUUCUCCUUAGAAGCCAGCCAGAAUAUAGUCAGGUUCUGUGGAUCCCAGGGUUGGCAUUUCAGAAUGUGAAUUUUGGAGUGGCCAAGUGUUCCUGUACGUGCAUGUGUGUGUGUGUGUGUGUGUGUAUAAAGAUGUGGUUUCACAAUAUUGCUGCUUUUGUUUGAUUGGGGUUUUGUUCAAAUUUUUUUCUUUUAUUUUGGUGUGUGUUUCUGAAGAGUCAGCAUUUGGGUUCUCUAGUUGACUGGAGUGUUGCGGAAGUUGCUUAGUAAAGAACUAGGCAAGUUAUUCUGGGUCACAGCCCAGCUGUGUCUUUUCUGGGGAUGAAGUGUCUCUGAAUUAGAGAUUGGUUCAGGAGAGCUCUCAAGAUGACUUCAAAAAUCCCCUCAUGCCAAAAUGGUUCUAUUUCUUUGUUUCCUCUUUUCUUCUGCUUCUGAAUUAUCUUGACCAUGCAUUUUACACCUUUCAAGUGUCUAGUUUCAUGGCUGAUGUGGUUGUAAAGGGAUCCACUGUGUUUGAGUCGCUGAUUCUGAGGUAAGAAUAUUGGAAAGCAGUAAUAAGAAAGCAUGAAGGUCUUUCUAUAGGUAUUACAGAUGCCUAAGUAACACCUAAGUAGCUCAAAUUGAUUUAGAAUAUUGAGUAGGCUAUCUACUGUGUACUGAGUUGUCACUGAAAUACAGGAACUCUACAUUAAUAUUUUAAAAAAUUCCCAGCCAGGCAUGGUGACUCAUGCCUGUAAUCCCAGAACUCGGGAGGCUGAGGCAGGAGGAUCCUUGUGAGUUAGAGACCAGCUUGGGCUGCAUAGUGACAGCCUGUCUCAAAAAGACCAAUAAAUAAGUAAAUAAAAUUACUCUGUGCUAUUAAAUAAUCAUUUUAGAACACACAUUUGUACUUUCUUUAUCUUUAUUCUGAAAUGCCUGCAACCCUUAGGGAAAAAUGGAAAUAUCCAGAGGAGAACAACUAAAAAUAGCCCUAAAUCCCGCCACCCACCACAAAUACUGUUACUACUGCUUUAUUAACCAUUUUUCUCUUCCAGAAUCAGCAACUUUUAUUCUUUCUGUUGACUCUUCGAAAAUCACUGAGGUCACUUCUGCAGACUGCAACUUUUUCACAUCCAAAGGUCUGGGACACUUGCUCUGUCUUCCUUACCCUUUGCCACAGGGAGAAGCAAACACUGAAAGAUGUGCUCAUGAUUCAGAUGAGUAGCCCUGAUUCUGAGUGCUUUGGGUUGUGAGAUCCACUGGCACAAAGUGAUAUCAGGGCAACUUUUGUGGUUUCUUCCUUCCUGUGGCUCUUGGAAAAGCGGGAGGGGAGAGCAUUCUUCUUGAUUGUUGGACUUCUCUGUGGCAGCAUAUGGCUCAUCUCUGGCAUAUUUGCUAUUACAGUGUCGACCAGGGUCUCAUCCUAAUUCCAAGCCCACUGAGUUUCAAACUCAGUAAGUUUGUUUUCUCUUUUCCCUUUGUUUUUUCGAAGAAACCAUAACUUGGGUUUACUCAUCGGCAUUCCAGGUGACAAAGAUGACAUGGGCAGUGGAUAAGUAAUCCAGUCCCCUUUCCUCUGUGAGGCAGGGGAGUUGUGUUCCUGUGAGUGGCUUGUUUUGUGUGGGAACAGUCUCACCCUCGCAUCCUGUCGUGGGAUUCAGCUCUUUGGGCUGCACUGUGGUCCUGUCCCACUUCCUCCCACAAGCUGAGAUGAAAGCGAAAUUCACUUUCAGGGGUGGUUCCUACCCUCCUCUGCUCAAUUCCCAAACCCUUCUGUAAAGAUCUCCAUUCUUCCUUAGCAACUUCUGCUUGAAGCUGGAAGUAGAUAAAACAUCUACUCAUUUUUCAAAGUGUUACUUAAAUGUUUUAAAUAACAUGAUCCUUACUAUGAUGUACUUUGGUUAGGGCCAUAUAAGUACUGAAACUCCUCUUUGAAACCCUGUCCUCGGUCUCAGAACUUUCUUCUGAGGUGAUCACUGUUAUUAGUUGAAGACAACUAUUCUAGAUCUUUUUUCCAUCCUUUUAUGUGUGUUCAUAGUACAGAAAUAUCUGCACUCAUAUGCAGCUUUAUUUGUAUUUGGCUUUAUUCACUUAGUUUUAUACAUUGGACCACUUUCUUUUCUAGUUAGUGUAGAGAUCUGCAUCAUUAUGUUACAUUGCUAUGUAUGGUAAUGGUGUGGACUCUCACAGUAUCUAUUUUGUGUUUAAUGGCAUAUAACAGUUGGUUUUUCACUUAUAUAAAUAGUGCUGAUGUGAACUCCUGUGAAUAUGUAUUUCCUUAAGCAUUUAUGCAAAAGUUUCAACAGAUAGGUUGGUGCCAAGAAGUAGAAUGCUAGGUUGAAAAAAUGUGCACUCUUAAAUUUAAAAGGUAUUACAAAAUCAUUCAAGAGCAAGUUGACUUGCCCACCCCUAGAAUAUCUGCUUUCCCAUAUCCUCAUAACACUUAAUAUGACCAUGUGUUUAAUUUUCAAGCUCCUGAGAAGAGCACGUCAUGCUGUUUUGUCUGAUUAACAGGGUGUGAGUAUCUGUCUCUAUGUUUAUCAGCCAGAGAGCAGCCGUCCUUUAACUCUGCAUAGGAGCAGAGGCUCAGAAGUCAGGCUUAGAAGGGUAGGCAUGGAUGAGUCAUAGUGGAGUAGGUUUUGAAGUAAGGCUAUAAAUCAAGAUGAAUUGCAAAGGUGAUUGUAUGUUGAAAAACUUUGAUUUGCACAAAAGCACAUAGUCAGAAAACAGAAAUCUGGAAUAGGAUUGGAGAGCUUAAAGGAAACUGGGUGCCUGGAUCCAAACCUUUUGUGCUUAUAGGAUGAAGUACGAUUUGGGGAAAAGAGAAAGAAACAACUAAAAAGAUAAUGGAGGUUGGAAAGAGUGUUUGGAAACUUAGUUAUUAUUCUUCAUUCCAUUUAGAUCUUAGAUUUCUGUACACUGAGCUGUGAAGAAAAGAGACACCAUUUCUUGUCUUACCUUCCUCUAUACCUCUGCUAAGUCUCAUUUCACUCCUGCUGAGAAAAUCCCAGCAGAGAGAGAGGGCCUGCUGCAUAGCCAUAGUCUGCUAUUGAAGAAACGCUUGCUGUGAGACACCAGUUGGUCUCCAGGUCACGUUUAGUCCUUAUGGGAGAAAUGAGUUUUAUUGAAGCCAUAUGAGGUGUGAACAAAAGAUAUGAAAAAUAUUUAAUAGUAUUAUAGUAAAUAAUACAUUGUACUACCAUUAAUCACCCUCAGAGUACUCCCUUUCACUUCGAACUCUUGUCUUAGUAUUGCUGCUGCUUUCUGAAACAGCUCUGUAAGCACACUUUUCUGAGUGAGUCUUUAGUCAUAGUAUUUUGGCUGUCCCGAAGCUGUUCAAAACACUUUUUGUUCAGGUCACUUUGACUUUAGGGUAGAGCCAGAAGUUGUGUGGUCCUAUAUGUAGUAAAUAAGAUGGAUGAGGUAAAUAUUUGUAUUUGACAGAAAUUUCCUUGAGUAUUUUGAAUUGAUUGAGGACAUCUAAGCAUUCACAAUAGCACAACUACAGAUGCUCCUGUAACCAAGUUUCUAGAACUACUUUAGAAAGUAACAAGCAAUGGGACAGGCAUGGGUUUAGUAGUGGGGAGAUUUUGAGGAAGAUUAAUGACAAUGUAGUUUUUGGUAUAUUCUUUAAAAUAAAUUUAAGCACUCAGUGUAUUUUUUUGUUUCCACUUUAUAGUAUAUGGUGGGUCAGUGUCAAGAUGUGCACAUGGGCCACUUCAUUUUUAAUAUCUCUUUGCCAAAUGAUCACGGCCCUAUUGUACCUAAAUUUCCCAAGGCCACACAGCUUUUAGAUACACAUCCAGAUAAUGUGGCACUAGAGAGAGCUGGACUGGGGGCCUAAAGGCUCACAGUUAUAGCAUUUUGUGAUUUCUUGUAUUCUGUCACAUCUCUCAUGAGUUUCUGGUUCUUCCUUUUUAAAAAUCUCAUCUUUUUCAAAAUGUGAAAUGGGGAUAGUAGUAGUGCUUAUGUCAGAGGGUGGCUAAGUGUGUGAGGAAAUAAGUGAAAAACACGGCCAGUGUCCAGUGAUGGGGUGGUAAAUGAUAGUCAUUGUGUUGGGUUCCUAUUUCCUUUUCACACUGCUGUUACUGUUCUCACUCACAUGCCCUCCUAUUUAGACCAGUGCAGCAGAGAAACAAGAAGCCAUUUCUACUAGCCUCAGUAGACUUGCUGUUCUCCUUAAGUAAAUUUCACUUUCUAAUUUUAGGGGAUUAAAAAAAUUAAUCAUACCGAGGAAUUAACCAAUGAGUGAUAAAGUCACAAACUUGGAGAAGUAACAGAAGCUUUCUGGCAAGGGCAAGGUGGUAUACCCCCACGGAUUGAUCCGCAGGCCAGAUCAAGUGGCGCCCAGCAUGGGGGCUCCUGGCACAAGGGAGUCAAUGAGGGAGUGGUUCGAGGAAACUGGCUGAAAGUAAAAGCAAAUUGAACCAAAGACUGCGGCGAGAAGUGAGCAAACUAAAUCAAGAAUCAAAGCUAAAAGCAAAAGGACGUUAAAUCAAGGACCAAGGCCUGUGCGGACAACUACCCGACAUCCCGCCCGAGUCACAGUGAGUGAACGGUGACCCCAUUCCCUUUCCCGGACAUGGGUCAAGCAUUGAGCGAACACAAACUGUUCGUGGGAGGCCUUAUAAAGGUAUUCAAUACAAGAAGGGUAAGGGUUAGAACAAAAGAAUUAUUGCAGUAUUUUCAAUUAAUUCAUAAGGUUUGCCCUUGGUUCCCCUUAGAGGGUUCUAUAGAUACCAAGAGGUGGAAAAGAGUAAGAGAUGCUUUAAAAGAUUAUUAUAAGGUUUUUCAUCUGGAAAAAGGUUCCGGUGACCACCUUUGCAUAUUGGAAUUUAAUCUCUGAGCUGCUUGCCCAGCAGCAUGCAGAUCCUCAGAUUGAGGAGAUGGUAGCACAAGGCCCUCCGAGCUACACAGCCUUAUAGUGCCCCUAAGAUGGCGCCUGCCUCCGGCAAGCCUCGUAGCACUCUUAAAAUGGUGCUUGCCUCACUUCCGCCACAUCAGCGUGGGUCCCUCCCUAAAAUUGUGUUUCCAGUGAUAGAAAUAAACGUACCUCCCCAAGAUGGCACCACACAGCCGGAAGACGGCGUGAGCACCACCCUGCUAGCUCCACAAUUCAUUAGGACUCACGCCAUUCACAGUGGCAGCUUUAAAAGAAUUAAAGACAGCGGUUGCCCAAUAUGGCCUUACAGCUGCUUUCAGUCUUGCUAUUUUAAAUUCUCUGGCUGAUGGCUGGCUCACACCUACAGAUUGGCAAAGAUUGGCCCGAGUGACUUUAUCGGGUGGGGAUAAUCUUUUGUAAAAAUCAAAAUAUACAAAAAAUUGCAAAGAGACCGCCAGGCGCAAUACACAAGCUGGCAAUGGAUGGGACCUUAAUAUGUUAAUAGGGAAAGAUGCCUAUGCCGGCAGAGAGGCCCAAAAGCAGUUUAAGGGCGAUAUGAGUUCCUCUCUUAGGAGCAUUAAGCAGGGGCUGGGAAUUUAGCUCAGUGACAUAAGUGCCUGCCAGCCAAGCACAAGCUUGUGAGUUCAGUCCCCAGGGCUGGAGAUUUAACUCAGUGGCACAGGUGCCUGCCUAACAAAUAAAAGUCUGUGAGUUCCAUCCCUGGUACCAUUGACAUUAAAACUGCUUGUCAGCAAGGCCUUGCUAUGGCUGCUGCCUUGCAAGGGUUGACAGUUAAACAGUUGUUAUCUCAAAAGCAUAAACAAAACUGUUUUACCUGUAGAGAGACUGGUCAUUUUACAAAAAGACUCCAGAGGUGGAGAUUCCAAUGUCAAUUACUUUGACUCUUUUAACUGUUCAUAGUGAUAUUGGUCUAGUCUCUUAAGUUUAAUUUCAGCAUAUGUAAGGAUGGGGACAGCGCUGAAAGGAGAAUGAGAGACACUAUGGUAGUUAUUAUUGUCUUCCCCAAUGUCAGAUCUUAAAAACCUGAGAAGCCUUCAUCAUCAUUUGAUUAGUUCUAUAAUAUGCAGUGUGUAUUUAAUGUGCAUAAAGAUGGGCACAACUGUUUGGAGGAAACUAGAGACAAUUAAGUAAACAGUAAAUAUCUCCAGUGGACUUGCUUUAAAAUCUGUAUUUCUUUAAAUUGUUCUUUUUUUUAAAACUGUUUUGUUCUGUUUUGAUACGUUUGGUCUUGCCCUCUUUGAGAUAAAAAACAAGUGUGUGGGACUGAUAAACAUGUUACUGGGUUUUUGUUGGAUCGUUGAGCGGAGCUGUUGGCAGUGUCACUGUUUAAAUGUCACUUUACAUGCUUUGGUUUUGUAGCCUAGACAACUAUUUCUAAGGUGACAGUAUGUACCUUAUCAACUGUUGAUUUCUUACCAUUUAUUUUUCUAUAAUUAUGUAUUAAGAUCACUAAAAAUGCCAGACAGAUAGUAAAAAAUUGCCUUUCUUGUGCCAUGCGCCUCCCAGUUCCACACUUUGGGGUUAAUCCUAGAGGACUUAUCCUCAAUGCAUUAUGGCAAAUGGAAGUCACCCACAUUCCUGAGCUUGGCAAUCUUGAAUAUGUUCAUUUAACUAUAGAUUUCUUUAGUGGUUUCAUUUAUACUUCUCCCCAGACUGGCAAAGCUACCAAGCAUGUUAUUAGCCAUAUGUUAACUACCUUAUCAGUUCUGAGAUGCCCACAACAAUUAAAGACUGAUAAUGGUGCAGGCUGUGCUAGUUCUGCCUUUUCUCGUUUCUGUCAACAUCUUAAUACUGAUCAUAUAAAAGGCAUACCUUAUAACCCUCAAGGUCAAGGCAUAGUUAAAAGGGCACAUCUCUCCCUAAAACUCACUGUUGAUAAAAUAAAAAAGGGGGAAUGGUACUCCACAAGGAGGACACCUAAAAAUAUUCUAUCUCAUGCCUUAUUCAUCCUUAACUUUUUAAAUUUGGAUGCUUCUGGACAGUCAGCAGCCACACAUUUUUGGCAUUCUGAAACACAAAAGCAAUUUGCUUCUGUACUAUGCUAAGACCCCCUGACUAAUUCAUGGCAUGGCCCUGAUCCCAUUCUGAUAUGGAGAUGCAACUCAGUGUGUGUUUACUCUCAACAAGAUAGAGAGGCUAGAUGGCUACCUGAGCGCCUCGUAAAACAAAUAGUCAGUUCUUCAAAGACCCCGUGCAAUGCCCAGGAAUAAUGUCAUUUCCUGAGGCACAAUCCCCUGUGUUCUCUUACAGGUGACACAACUCCUCAGAGCCUUAUGCUGCCUACUCAGCCUUCUCCUCGGACUGUACCACACCAUGGUGGAUUUCGACCCCUGCCAAACAGACUACAACUGCUGACAGCCAUGCACACAACCUCCUGUGACUGCGGAGGAGGCUCUUCUCAGUCUGGAGGAACAUAAACCAGCCAAAUAGACUGUGUCCGCUGUUAUGCGAGGCAAGCUCCAAGAAAUAGAAGAAUGACUUUAACAGUGACAACAACAAAUGGCUGCCAACCCCUUCUCCUCGAUGUGUGUGUUGCGGGGGGGGGAGCUUUUCCCUUACCUAGCACCCCUUUUGGGUCCCCUAGCUGCCCUAUUGCUUCUCCUUUCUGUGAGCCCUUGUAUUUUUCAGAGGAUUAUGACGCUCAUUAAUAACCGGAUAGACGCGUUUAUGGCAAAGCCCAUUCAGGUACACUAUCAUCAGCUGGAGAUGGCAGAUCAACAAACCUACCGGGAAGGAAUUCCCACAAAUGGCCCAUAUGACGAUGCAGCCUAACUGCCCUGGGGCAAUGGACAGGCAGUCAGAGACGGGCAACUAGGACAUGCAUGUUAACUCCAUCAGCCACCUAAGACAGGCACAGGACCAACUGCUGUCCUGCAAGCCCAUGACGGGUAAGGCCUAGUUGGGUUCAUGUAAUGAGGUCCUUGACCUAAGACAGACGCUGUCUUCACAGGGCCUGCCAUACUCCUGAUUAAAUAAUAUAGAAAGGGAGGAGAUGUAGGGAGCCGCGCGACAGCCCCAUUGCUGCCUCCCUGCCUCUCUCUCUCUUAUGGGCACAAUGCGUCUGCCUACAUUAACCAUAAUCCUCUCCUGCUUCCAUCACAUACCCGGACAUGACAAUGACCAUGUUGUAUUCAUCCCCGUAGCCUCUUCCUGUCCCACCAGCCCACCCUUGGCCUAAAAAAGAUGUGAUCACUUUCGGAAUAAACAGGGCUUGAUCG